rnacentral:lncRNA from 1 species
AAGCCCGAGAAAUGAUCGAUUGUCGAGAUGACGAGUUAAGGAGGACUAAGAAGAAGAUUGAAGACCUCGAGAGAUAAAGAUCUGAGACUGAGAGAGACUGCCGCCGAGCCUGUAAUGAUAUAGAGUGCUUAAAAAGGAUGCUCGAAGGAAGAAGGGGUCGAGACUCUACCCCUCUUGAGGUUUAUUUCCUCCACCACUGACUCUCAGAUCAGGAGCUUCUAACUGCGAAUGCUCUCAAGAGGAU